rnacentral:sRNA from 1 species
UUAACCACUGAGCCAUCUCUCCAACGCUGAUGUGUAAAUUUUUAAAAAAUAAUAACCAACAUAAUUUAGUAUAAUAUGGAAACAUUUCAGCAAGAACAUUUUAAGCCAGUUUUGACAAGUGAAAGGGCGUAAAUAAAGGGAUAUGACGUCAUUGUCUGCAAGCUAGUUAUUGAGCAAACAACAAGUGCCUAUAUUGUCUGAGGAGAGUGUCAAGCUGGAGAACAGAACCAAACUAAGACUUUUGAUGAAUGUUGAAUUCUUAAAGCAAAAAAGACUUUUCUUUCCAUAACAGGUGGAUUUUACUUUUAAUUAUGACAUAAACAGAAAAAUACUUGGAAUGAUAUUCCUCCUGGUGUAUAUUUUGGAUCCCAAUAACUGGUUGUGUCCUGGAAGUUUGUUGGCAAGCUUAAAUAUCUUCUUAGAAACCAGUUGCAAUCUGGAAUAUAUCAAAACACAUCGCACUUGGAUUCGGCCCAGGGAAUAAGAACUCUUUCCUGAGAAACCCAGCUGAUCUGAGGCCAAAGAAAGAAAACUUGUGAAGUCCUGGGGAGAGGAUUCAGACACACAGGUCUCUUGUAUGGCCACUUAGAGAACUUGUCCCUUGCCUUCCCCAUAGAGAAAUUGAAUCUGUAUUACUGGAAACCACCAGUGGCAAUGUGCCUGCACAGCACAGCCUGGAUGUGAUUUUUAAACAUAAUCAUUUUAUUGAAAGAGGCCUCAUAGGUGUCACCAUGGGAAUGCAGAACAAAUACUACAUUCUAUUGGUUGAAACCAAGGUCAAAAUUGACAAAGCCUUCAGUCAUACUUCUGGGCGUAAAGGGGAGCUGAAGAGAAUGGUAUCCCCAAGAGAGUGAUCUGUUGCCCAGCAUGGGGGCAGGAGACAGUGAGGACUCAGCACCCUGAAGGUCUGGUGCACAGGGGUGUGUAUAAUGAUCACCACCACUUCACUCUCAACUCUUUGCUAUUCUUGGGCUUUCCUGGAGGUGAGAUCAUCGUGUCUGUGCAUUGAACUUAUUCUCCCGGAGUGCAUGGUUGGAACCUCACUCCUUCCAUUGUAUGGUACAGCUAGAUGGGUGGAUCUUUAGCUGGUAUAGAGGCCAUGAGGAUAGACCCCUCUGGAAUGAGUGCUCUGAUUGAAGGGACCAGAGGAAGCCUUUGACCUUUUGCUCUUCCUCAAGAAGCAAUGAGAAGCCACCUUUCUAACCCAGGACCCGAACACGUUGGCAUCUUGUUCUCAGCUACCGGGACCAUGAGAAAGGAUAUUUGGUUGUUUAUAGAUCACGCAGCCUCAGGCAUCUAAAACUUCGUGAAAACCCAUUAUUCCUACGAGAGGAAGGCUCCAGAAAAGAGCACAGAGAAGGGCUGUUAGGUAGCUUAGACGAACACCUAGGAGGCCCCACUCACCCCUGCAAUGAAAUGUGGGUCAUCAGUCUUCCAGCAAGGAUCCACAGUGUGAAACUGUUUACACACAGACGUCAGGAAACCAUUCAAAAGCAACAGAGAAAACCAAUUCCGAGAAGUAAAGCUGACAAAACUACUAGCAUUUGAGAGGGUAUGUGGCCAAGGAGCCAAGGACCUACAACAGGUUUCAAAGAUGGCAGCCGAUGCCCUUCACAGGGAAAGGGCACAUCCUGCUCUGUGUGGAGUCUGAAUGGCUAUUUAUGACACAGAACUGAGAGUGAGAUUCAAGCUCUGGCAGCAGCAUGUCUAGGAGACAGCAAAUGAGGAGCCACGCUGAGAAUCCGUCUGUCUCUAGGGCACUCUGGCUGCCACGGGGAAACACUCGUCAAAGAAGGGGAAUGGCCAAGAGAGAAGUAAAAGUCAGCAAAUGCAAUGAGUCUGGUCAUGAAGAAAAUUCCAGCCAGACCACAAUAUAUUCUCCCUGGCACUGAGCUAGCUGAUGGCAGAGAGCCAACCACCCUUGAGGAAAAGGAAUCGUAGGAAAGAUGAAGGACGUUCCCUGACAGAGGUGAACCUUUUGCUUUGUUACUUCAGUUGUCUCUGAGUUAAACCUGCUCUUUCCCAUGGGCAACAAUGUUUCACAGCAGUGGCGGAUGACCCUGGCUGGCCCUUAGAGCAAUUAGGAGACUUUAAAGAACAGGACUUCAUCAAUACCAAACAACAGAAUGUCUGGCGGAAUGGCAGGCAGGUGUUUUUGAUGGACCUCUGAGGGUGGUUCCAGCAUUCUUCCUUACUCAGCUUCCAGCUCGCUCUGCCACUCACUGCCUACCCCAUCUCUAUGCUAUGAUCUGUAUUAGUGCGAGAGCCUUCUUGCCCCUGAGCUGUGGCCUCCUGCCUAAAUCACACCUUGCUUGUCCAACUCUUUUCUCAAAACUGUGCAUUUUAGAGCACUGUGGACUCUUUAGCAGAACUGACCAGAAGCACAGAGCUAUCCUAUACCUCGCCUUCUUUAAACAGCUUUUCUCAUUGUCCACAUCUUCAACAGACUCUUGAACUUUAUAAGCGCAGAGAAAAUUAGUUGAGCCCAAGUGAGCAUAUACGUAUUUAUUUCUCUGCCCUUGAAUGUAGCUAUACUGUGAUUGGCUGCUUCAACUUCCUAUUUCUUUGACUGCUCCACAAUAAUGGACAAUAAAUUGAAACUGUGAGCUAAAAAACA